rnacentral:tRNA from 1 species
GGGAAAGUGGCUCAGUGGUAAAGCACUUGCCUUGCAUGCAUGAGGCCCUGGGUUCGAUUCCUCAGCACCA